AAGAAGUUCUUGCAAGUAUUAGUUGCCGAGGUAUCCAUCUUCAGAAAGACCAAUUCUCAAGUAUGCCUGAGAAUAAUGAUGAUGCCAAAGUCUAUGUAGAAGAACAUGGGGAUAAUUGCAAUGAUGGGUCAGCUGGUUGCAUAAAUAAUGAGAUCAACAAUGGUGCUGAAGGAGAUGGUAGGGUGAAAUAGUAGAUACGAUAUUCUUUUAGCACCAACUACCCUUCUCCCGGCACCAACUACCCUUCUUCUAGAACCAACUUCCCUUCUUUCUUGGUGCAUUUGAGGUCGUCCUUCGAGGUGAUUAACAAGGGAUUCAUUGCUUGUCAAGACCUGCCAUGACAUCAACCCGUUGUCAAUUAUUAGUGACCACCUUUAUUCACUGGAUGAUAAAUUGAAGAGGGGAAGACCCCCUCCAUUGCUCAAGAAUGCUUGUGAACAUGUUGCAGUAAGCGAAGAGCCAGUGACGGAAACUGCUUCAGUGAUUGAUCCUGCGUCUAUAUCGAGGUGCUGCAUAAAGAAGGGUUUGGUUUCGGCAGCCCCCCAUGUUCUUGGGACAUCCGAUGCAGGUGUAGACAAUGCCCUACUCCUUCCAGCAGUGCUGCCUCCUACUCCUCCUCUUCUCGGAACAUCCGACAUAGCUGCCGGCAUGCCUUGCACCUUCCAGCAGUGCUGCCUCCUACUCCUCUUCUUCUCGGAACAUCCGACAUAGCUGCCGGCACUGCCCUGCACCUUCCAGCAGUGCUACCUCCUACUCCUCUUCUUCUCGGAACAUUCGACAUAGCUGCUGGCACUGCCCUGUACCUUCUGGCAGUGCUGCCUUCUACUCCUCUUCUUCUCGGAACAUUCGACAUAGCUGCUGGCACUGCCCUGUACCUUCCGGCAGUGCUGCCUCCUUUUAUUUCACAGGUUGUUUUCUUUGGCUUGGGGUCAGUUGGCUCAGUGCACAGCUUCCAUCUUUCUUGAUACCAUAGGAUGUACAAAUCUUCAACAUGUGUAACUUUGUUUUUGCAA